rnacentral:lncRNA from 1 species
AACAUAUCUAACUUAAGUUAAAAUAUAGACCAUUAUGUAUCGGCUACUUAAUCUUUCAAUAUAUUUAAACUUAUAUAGCUGUUGACUGAAUUCAAUCAAACAAAUUGAGGUAUUGGACAGUAAAAUCAGUAUCUUAAAAGGUUAGAUAGCCAAAUCAAAAUAAUCUAUUAAUCAGAUAAAUUCUGUACGUUUUUAUCUAAUAAAAAUUACUCUGGAAAUACAAAAUUGCUUCUAGAUAAGA